CACGUAAGGGGCGAGCNUUGUUCGGAAUUAUUGGGCGUAAAGGGUGCGUAGGCGGUUAUGUAAGUCUGUGGUGAAAUGGCAGGGCUCAACCCUGUCACUGCCAUGGAAACUGUAUAACUGGAGUCAUGGAGGGGUAGUUGGAAUUCCGCGUGUAGGGGUGAAAUCUGUAGAUAUGCGGAAGAACACCGGUGGCGAAGGCGAACUACUAGCCAAUGACUGACGCUGAGGCACGAAANUCGGGGGAGCAAACAGGAUUAGAUACCCUGGUAGUCCGCACUAUAAACGAUGUACACUAGGUGUU
rnacentral:rRNA from 1 species